rnacentral:misc_RNA from 1 species
UUAUCCAUAGAAAUAAAUAUUAAAAGACCAUUUUCAGUUUAAGGAGUGAAAAAAAUGUUCCCUUUAUAUUCCUUAGCAAUCAAACACUUAACAAAUCAUUUCAUGCUACUACAAUUUGAUUGAUUACCUAUCACAAUCUCAUAUUACCAUGUAGCUUACACUCCCAAUGGUCCUCCGCCAUUUCAUUCUACCACUAGUUCAUUUAACACUAGUCAAGGUUCUGCAAUUCAUGUGAAAGCAUCAAAAGACCAACAUCUCUAAAAUUUAAAGAUAUUCCUUUCAUGAUCACAAUUUUCCCAACAAAAUCAUGUCUAGAAUGAGGGCUUGAAAUCCUUGGACUUUAUUUUUGUCCAAAAUUCAAGAAUCAGAAAGCAGGAAUGCGAAAUCUUAUAAAUUCAAUUUUCAGAUAUUCCUUAAUCUCUAAGACAAAUGACGUGAAGGGAAGCAAUGUC